rnacentral:rRNA from 1 species
AAGGACCAAGCUCGCACAUGGUUCGCCUUUCCCUGAGAUCCUCGCGGCCGCACGGAGACAGAGCUCGCAGCAGCGGCACACAGCGGAGCGGCGGUCCGCCUGCCUCCGCCGCGCCUAUGGAUUCCUCGUCGCAGCCGCAGCCGCAGUCUCCUCCCGCCGGGGGCGACCCGUCGGAGGACGGCGCGGCCGCGGAGCUGCCCCGGCUCACCGUGACGCUGGUGGAGCAGAUGAAGGUGGAGGCGCGGGUAGCCGACAUCUACCGCGUCCUCUUCGACGCCGCGCCCAACGCCAAGUCCGCCAUGCUAGAGCUGUGGCGCGAUCAGCAUGUCAAGUAUUUGACGAAAGGGCUGAGGCAUCUUGCACCUAGCUUCCAUGUGCUCGAUGCCAAUCGGCCUUGGUUAUGCUAUUGGAUGGUUCAUGGGCUUGCAUUGCUGGAUGAAACGCUUGACGAUGACCUCGAGAACGAUAUUGUGGACUUCUUGUCUCGAUGCCAGGACAAACAUGGUGGAUAUGGUGGUGGACCUGGGCAGUUACCUCAUCUCGCUACAUCGUACGCUGCUGUAAAUACACUUGUAACCAUAGGGAGUGAAAGAGCACUAUCAUCAAUAAAAAGGGACAAUCUGUACAAGUUUAUGCUUCUAAUGAAGGACAAAUCAGGUGCUUUCAGAAUGCAUGAUGGUGGUGAAAUUGAUGUCCGCGCUUGCUAUACUGCAAUAUCGGUUGCCAGCCUCGUGAACAUUCUUGAUGAUGAGCUGGCAAAAGGUGUUGGAAACUACAUAGCAAGUUGUCAAACUUAUGAAGGUGGGAUUGCGGGGGAACCUUCUGCUGAAGCUCAUGGUGGGUACACUUUUUGUGGGCUGGCUGCAAUGGUCCUGCUUAAUGAAGUGGAGAAACUCGAUUUGCCUAGCUUGAUUGGCUGGGUGGCAUUUCGUCAAGGAGUGGAAUGCGGAUUCCAAGGACGGACAAAUAAAUUGGUUGAUGGUUGCUACUCCUUUUGGCAGGGAGCUGCUAUUGCUUUAGCUCAAAAGCUAAUGGCAGGGUCUGAUGAACAAUCUAAACAAUCGCAGCCCAGCAAAUUAUCCUCGGUAGAUGAUUCUUGUGGGACCAGCUCAUCUGGAUUGGCUUCAGAAAAAACUUCUAUUGUGGAUUAUGCGAAGAUUGGAUUUGAUUUUAUGAAGCAGAGCAACAAAAUAGGUCCGCUGUUCCACAACAUUGCUCUGCAACAAUACAUCCUGCUUUGCGCACAGGUGCCGGAGGGAGGAUUGAGGGAUAAACCUGGAAAGAACAGAGACCACUAUCACUCAUGCUACUGCCUGAGUGGCCUCUCAGUUAGCCAGUACAGCGCAAUGACAGGUUCCGUUUCAUGCCCCUUGCCGCAGCACAUGCUUGGCCCAUACUCGAACUUGCUAGAGCAAAUUCAUCCGCUCUACAACGUUGUGGUAGAGAAAUACGAGGAGGCCUAUGAGUUCUUUUCGAGCGAGUGAUCAAAUGUACACCUUUACAGUCUCAGAUAGCUAGGAUGAUCUGUGAUAUUGCAUGGCUUCAAGUACUGGGGAUAUUUCUGCGACGUGUCCGUUUGUUGUAUACUAGCAGUCAUUUGAAUAAUUGGAUUAUGCUCCUUGCACCGUGUAUGACUGAUUCACUAUGAGUGCAUGGUGAGAGGCUGAGCUCUUUUUGUCACAUGUCUCGGGGAUGUGUUAUUGAUAGCAUUGCUGACUGGUGGCAAGACAUUCUCUUCCUAACUCGUGAUCGGCAUCAAAACCUUCAAAUGCAACGUUGGAUAGGAAAGCUAUGUGCCAUAUGCCUUGUGCGACUGGAUAUACUCACAAAGUGGCAAUGCAAAUAUAUGUUUCGUGAC